CCAUUUCUUUAAAAUCACGUGAUCGCUGGCAGCCUCCACCCUCUCCUCUCUGCUGAUAUAAGAUCUGCUUCCUGCUCUGUCUGCAUUCUCAGCAUCAGAGAGCUUCAUGAAGACAACAACAGGUGAAGCAUAAAAACUCUGAGCAGCGAGUGUUUGCUGCUCUUCCUCCUCCUCAGCCUCACAGAGCGUCCUGAAGCCGACAACACAGCAGUCACUCAGGCAGACCAGCUUGUUCACAUGGUGACUAACUAGAUCUCCUCCUCUGCACAAACUUCCAUUGGGAAGCUUCUGGUCCGUAGUGUCUAUACUAUACUAUAGCCAGCCACAAGGGGGCUCACUUUAACUUGACUC